rnacentral:tRNA from 1 species
UCCGGCGUAGCUCAAUGGCAGAGCAUUCGACUGUUAAUCGAAGGGUUGUAGGUUCGAAUCCUACCGCCGGAGCCA